AGCAGUGUGGCUUAGUGGAAAGAGCCUAGGCUUGGGAGUCAGAGUUCAUGGGUUCUAAUCCCAGCUCUGCCA
rfam:Ornithorhynchus anatinus chromosome 1, whole genome shotgun sequence.